CCUACGGGAGGCAGCAGUGGGGAAUAUUGCACAAUGGGGGAAACCCUGAUGCAGCGACGCCGCGUGAGCGAAGAAGUAUUUCGGUAUGUAAAGCUCUAUCAGCAGGGAGGAAAAUGACGGUACCUGAGUAAGAAGCUCCGUCUAAAUACGUGCCAGCAGCCGCGGUAAUUCGUAUGGAGCAAGCGUUAUCCGGAUUUACUGGGUGUAAAGGGAGUGCAGGCGGCCUUGCAAGUCUGAUGUGAAAUACCCGGGCGCAACCCCGGAGCUGCAUUGGAAACUGUGAGGCUGGAGUGUCGGAGAGGCAGGCGGAAUGCGUGGUGUAGCGGUGAAAUGCGUAGAUAUUAGGAGGAACACCAGUGGCGAAGGCGGCCUGCUGGACGAUGACUGACGCUGAGGCUCGAAAGCGUGGGGAGCAAACAGGAUUAGAUACCCCUGUAGUC
rnacentral:rRNA from 1 species